AUUUGAAGAGGACUACUGGGGUCCGCCGCCACCACAAUAUUACUGGCGUUCGCCGCCACCGCCACCACCCUGUAUGUAUUAUUGAAAUAUAUAUUUUACAGAUGGCUCAGGCAGCACAGCGCGACGACCCAACGUGGUGUGCGGUGCGGCUCCCGACGACGGCCCAGCUGUAUCGUAUACCCCAACGCUUUCCCGAGAUUCAGCCAAUGUACCCUUACCUCCUUGCCUCCUUUCCCAGCACGAGUGUUAAUUUGCGCGAUUUUUAACAAUGAAAACAGUAUGUCAUUGUAGGAAACGCUUAAUUACAUCAUAGUCAUCAGCAACAUGAGUUCUUUAUGGCAUCACUUUACCACCAAUGAAAAAAUGGGUGUUAUAU